GCCUGAGAAACGGCUACCACAUCCAAGGAAGGCAGCAGGCGCGCAAAUUACCCAAUCCCGAUUCGGGGAGGUAGUGACAAUAAAUACUGAUACAGGGCUCUUUUGGGUCUUGUAAUUGGAAUGAGUACAAUUUAAACCUCUUAACGAGGAACAAUUGGAGGGCAAGUCUGGUGCCAGCAGCCGCGGUAAUUCCAGCUCCAAUAGCGUAUAUUAAAGUUGUUGCAGUUAAAAAGCUCGUAGUUGAAACUUGGGUCUGGCUGGCGGGUCCGCCUCACCGCGUGCACUCGUCCGGCCGGGCCUUCCUUCUGAAGAACCUCAUGCCCUUUACUGGGCGUGUUGGGGAAUCAGGACUUUUACUUUGAAAAAAUUAGAGUGUUCAAAGCAGGCCUUUGCUCGAAUACGUUAGCAUGGAAUAAUAAAAUAGGGCGUGCGUUUCUAUUUUGUUGGUUUCUAGAGACGCCGCAAUGAUUAACAGGAACAGUCGGGGGCAUCAGUAUUCAGUUGUCAGAGGUGAAAUUCUUGGAUUUACUGAAGACUAACUACUGCGAAAGCAUUUGCCAAGGAUGUUUUCAUUAAUCAGUGAACGAAAGUUAGGGGAUCGAAGACGAUCAGAUACCGUCGUAGUCUUAACCGUAAACUAUGCCGACUAGGGAUCGGGCGAUGUUCUUUUUCUGACUCGCUCGGCACCUUACGAGAAAUCAAAGUUU
rnacentral:rRNA from 1 species